GAAUUGCGAUAAGUAAUGUGAAUUGCAGAAGUCAGUGAAUCAUCGAAUCUUUGAACGCAUCUUGCGCCCUUUGGUAUUCCUUAGGGCAUGCCUGUUUGAGUGUCACGAAUACUAUUUGGACCAAGUCUUUUUUCUUCAUGUUAAUCGACGAGGCUCCAGCGUUGAGCGUCUGCCUCGCCCUUGGGCCUGGCUCGCUUUAAAUGUAUUAGCUGGGUCGGCUGGUUGCAGCCUUCACCUUUGGUAUGAUAAGUAUUAUGCCGUCGGUUGAGGGUAGCGCCGUUCUAUGGUCGCCUGCUUCUAAUCUAGGAGUGGCAUCGAAACUCGCUGUGCUUGCUGCACGGCCUGGGACGAUGCUUCCUCGCACUAUAUUCAAAUCUGGCCUCAAAUCAGGUAGGACUAC
rnacentral:misc_RNA from 1 species